rnacentral:tRNA from 1 species
GGAUGAUUAGCUCAGUUGGUUAGAGCGUUGCAUUCACAUUGCAAAGGUCACUGGUUCGAGCCCAGUAUCAUCCA